rnacentral:rRNA from 1 species
CCUACGGGUGGCAGCAGUGAGGAAUAUUGGUCAAUGGGCGCGAGCCUGAACCAGCCAAGUCGCGUGAAGGAUGACUGCCCUACGGGUCGUAAACUUCUUUUAUAAGGGAAUAAAGUGAGGCACGUGUGCCGUUUUGUAUGUACUUUAUGAAUAAGGAUCGGCUAACUCCGUGCCAGCAGCCGCGGUAAUACGGAGGAUCCGAGCGUUAUCCGGAUUUAUUGGGUUUAAAGGGAGCGUAGAUGGGUUGUUAAGUCAGUUGUGAAAGUUUGUGGCUCAACCGUAAAAUUGCAAUUGAUACUGGGAGUCUUGAGUACAGUUGAGGUAGGCGGAAUGCGUGGUGUAGCGGUGAAAUGCUUAGAUAUCACGAAGAACCCCGAUUGCGAAGGCAGCUUACUAAGCUGCCACUGACAUUGAUGCUCGAAAGUGUGGGGAUCAAACAGGAUUAGAUACCCGGGUAGUC